CGUAAUAUAACAUAGUCAGCUGGGAAUCUGUAUUUCGUAAUUUCCGCUAAAGGAUGCUACGCUUUUCUAUCAAUUUCAAUGUACAAAGCUAGCCGUAAUUAUACCGUUUUGCAUUAUCGUCAUUACUGAACUAUUUGCAAUCAAUGUUUAAGGAAAUCAUACACCAGCGCAGGGAUGUUAUAAAUUUUACACGUGGGCUAUAAAUGAAAUUUUAUUAUUGUUUUUCAUGUUAAUAUUCCAUUGUAUAAAAUUCCCGUAAACAAUCUGCGUUUUAGAUGAGUACUGGAACAUAUCGAUACAUCAAGACACAAAAGCAUGAAUUUGAAGAUUUUUGGUUUAUUGCUUCAGUUCACAGUUUGCUUG
rnacentral:lncRNA from 1 species